UGUCACCCAGGCUUGUGGCUCUCCAAGUGUGGUCUAUAGGUCUCCAGUGAGCCAUGAGGAUCUGUCUGAAGGCCUCAGAAAGAAACACAUCUUCCAAUGCCUGAGAAUUCACCUUUUAGCAGAUGACUUUGGUGUCUGGAAUUGAAAUUCAACCUACAACCUUCAACCUACGCUUCUGGCAAACCAAACUCAUCAGUGCUGUCUACAACCUGCAAACACAGCCAACAAGGUGUAGGCAAUAAUGAGGCAGUGUGGAGGUGCCUGGAAGGUUCUCUCGCACCGUCGCACCAGGAAGGUUGAUUUUCUUGGGUGAAACAUACAAACUCAGGGAUUGGACAUGCAGCAAAGUAAGUCAGUAAGUGGACACUAGUGACCUGGUGACCUUUGUGUGAUCCCCAGGUCUGGUCCCUGGGGAAGGAUCAGGUGCAAAGCUGGGUUCAUUGAAUUACUUUGGCGAUACAAUUACCCCUCAGCUCUUCCGGCUGCUGUGCAAAGUGGCUUUCUAUGCAGUCAGGGUAGAUCGAAAUGAGGCUCAGGACUUCAGGUAAACAAAGUCCUAGAAGGCCUGACUGGGAAGGGACUUUCAAGAUUGGUGAGUCCAAUGCAUUCAUUUCACAUUAUGUGAACACUGACACAAGGUGCUUAUGUAAAGGACUGCCUCUAUGAACACAGGGAGUUAGUUUGUUGUUAUUCCAACUCAAAGAAGGUCCAUGGUAGAGAAUAGAAAUGUGUGUUCACUUCUAGUUAAACAUGGGAGAUUGGAUAUGCCAGUUUAGUUCUAUCUUCUUCUGAAACCCACUACAAUGAGGGUAAAGGGAUAUAAAGUACAAGCCCACAAGGAUGAGGUGGAUGAUAGAGGGGACAGAUACAGGCAUGCAAUGUCAACAGGAUCUUGACAGAUGGGAAGGGGUGCCAUGGAGUGACAAGUGAGGGGGCAGAGCUGAGAAAGCUGGGGCAUAACUGACUAAGGGGG